rnacentral:lncRNA from 1 species
AAAGCCACAGGAAUACCCUUGGGAACACAGUGACAGAGGAUUUUCUCUUUUCUGUAUGUGAGGCCCUGGGCUCAGAAAUGCAGUUCAUUGCUGGCGUGCUGGCAAAGACCUUGUGCAGGAAUUCCACUUCAUUGCCUUGGAAUUUAAAGCAGUUGUAGAUGGCUUUCUCUCCAGUGGACUCUGCACACUGCCAAUUCCAGAUAACCCAAGCUCAACCAGCCUUUAAGAGCUGGGUUAAGAAGCAUCAAUAGAAAGAUCACUUAAAACUGUCCAAGACUCUAAAUUUGUUCAGUUCUUCUCAUUUUUUACUUUUGAAUAAUUAGCUUAGAAAUCUCUUAGAUACUGUGCUUUGUACUUUUGUAUAUGUUUCACUGGUUUUAUAGGACUAUAGAAUUUCAGAUUGAAAGGGCUUUUCUAGAAUGAGAACACUCGUGUGGGCUUAGGUGAGAAAUGGAGAAGCUCAGAGAGGUGAGCCGAGUCAUCACGGCCGUGCUUUUAUUAAUGGUUGCCCAAAGUUCUUUAUUCCUGUGUGGGUGGGUGGUUUUUAGUUUGCUUGUAUGUCUGUGCACAUGUGCAUGCCUAUUCCCAACACAGGUCAUAAGAGGGCAUCAGACCCCCUGGAACUGGUGUUUCAGACAGCUGGAAGCUGCCAUGUAGGUGUUGGAAUCAAACCUGGGCCCUCUGAAAAACAGCCAGUGGUCUGAACUUCUGAGCCAACUCUCUACCCCUGGCGCUCUCUCUUAGUCAAUUAUUUCUUUCUUUUCUCAGGCGCUAUAGUGGCCCCUGGUAAGACCCGAGGAGGUUCACCAUACAACCAGUUUGAUAUAAUCCCAGGUGACACACUGGGUGGCCAUACGGGUCCUGCUGGUGAUAGCUGGUUACCUGCCAAAUCUCCACCGACUAAUAAAAUCGGAAGUAAAUCCAGCAAUGCCAGUUGGCCUCCAGGUAUUGUUCAUAAACUGCCUUUCCUAGAAUAGUUCAAUGACAUUCAGGCUCUGAACACACCUCUUGUACAGCUCACUGUACUGAGGAAGGCCCAUGCUUUCUUUUCUGCAUUUAGUAGUUAUUGUCUGAUAAAGGUAAGGCCUGAACCUUGAAACGUGUGCCACGAGAAAAGUAAAGUUCUUCAAGAAAUGGGAGUUAAGGAGAAAGGAGGUGGCCUUGUAGCUAGGCUUUGGCAUUUAUCCUGUAUGUAGAGUUCCUUGGAAGAUUAGCUCUUUUAAAGUGGCAUUGAAUUGAUUGACACGCUCAUUAGUCAGAUCUGUCGUUUAUCUAUCUCCCCAGGUACAGUGAUGAGUUUGGUAAGAUUCAUCUCUCUCUCGUUCUCCCUUCCUUGCUCUCUCCUUCCUCUGUCCCCUCCCUCUGUCUCUGUAUUCUGUUUUCAUUAUAGAAAAUUUAAUAAAAGUCAGUAAUUAUCCUUCUCUUCACAUAUAAUUCUGACAUAAAUGUAUAUAACUACAUUUUAUUAGAGUGAAAUGAAAUAAUGCCUCUUGUUCAUAUAAUACAAUUAUACAUAUAAUACAAUCUUCUCAACACAAUUAGAGGUUAAUAUUACAUGUAGCUUUAAAUAUAGCUUCAACCAAUCAGUAAACACAGGAUAAGCCUUCAUAUAUAGUCUAGGUUUUCUCACGAGCAGUUAAAUUAUUCCCAACUAUCCCCAGACAGACUGAGAAAUAAUGGUCACUUAUUAUAUUUCAUUUUAUUAUGGCCUUGCUUCCUUAGGCCAUACCUACUUUUCCUUACAACCUGGCUUCCUCUAAUAUCAUGUAUGGAGCAAUGUAUGAUCCAGUGCACACAUACAAGUAAAUGAACAGACAGUAUGCUAAUAGACAGGCUACUGACAAGAGUGUUUGUUCAUGGUAAAUUUUAUUUCGUGAUGAAAAUCUGAUGCAUAGUAGAUUUCAUUGUUUAAACUUUUCAUGGGACCAUGGUUUUUUUUUUCCUACUAAACAGUUAUUUUAACAUAAUAAUAAAAUAGGAAAUGUUUAAGUUGUUUUUAACACUCUCCUAUCCCUAUCAUUUCUUCUUAUCACAGAAUUCCAACCAGGAGUGCCAUGGAAAGGUAUCCAAAAUAUUGACCCUGAAUCUGACCCCUAUGUCACCCCAGGAAGUGUGCUAGGGGGUACAACCACAUCUCCCAUUGUAGAUACUGACCACCAACUGCUGCGGGAUAACACCACAGGUAAGUGAGGGCUGCAGGCUGCAUGAAUACUACCCAGCAUUUUCAUAGUUAUUCGCCUGUGGCCUUGUUUCUAUUUGUAGUACCUGAUAAUUUAAGCAGAAAAUAGAAGCAUGUUUUUUUUUUAUAUAUGUGUAUUGUUUGGUUACAUUUUGUUUUUCCUUCCAUUUGAGUUUAAAUAAAAAUACUUGCCGGGCAUGGUGACACACACCUUUAAUCCUAGCACUUAGGAGGCAGAGGCAGGUGGAUUUCUGAGUUCGAGGCCAGCCUAGUCUACAAAGUGAUUUCCAGGACAGCCAGGGCUACACAGGGAAACCCUGUCUCGGGAAAAAAAAAAAAAAAAAACUUACAAAGUUUCCCUGGUUAUAUUGACAUUUGUCUCUAAUAUUUUCUUCCUCUUCCUCUUUUGUUAUAAGGGUCUAAUUCCUCCCUCAACACCUCGCUGCCUUCACCUGGUGCCUGGCCCUACAGUGCCUCUGACAACUCCUUUACCAACGUUCAUAGCACUUCAGGUACUCGGUGGCGUUUCCCCUCUUGCUUAGCAGUUGACUGUGAGGCUCCUCUUUAUUACCAGCAUUUACUUUCUAAGGGGCACCACUUAAGGAUGGGAAACACCUAAGUCAGCACAGAUGGACACACAACCUUUCUUUGCAUUCAGCAUCUACUCAGGGAGUUCCUGGACUCCCAGAGAUAGGAUAGGUAACACAGGACUAUAUUGGACCAAGGCCAAUGGGAAUAGAAUCUCUCAUAACUGCAGUUCUUCAGAGGGCAGAGCCCAUGACCUGAUGACCAAAUGUUUCUGUUAACUAGCCAGCCAAGAAACCAAGGGUUAUACAGAGAGCCAGUUCAACCCAUAUUAACAUUGAGGCAGCCCAUGGGAACUUACGGACCUAAAUCUGACCUAGAGACAUAAUGAAAGUAAAUGGCAGAGUAAAAAAGAGGACCUUGGUUAAUUUGCCAAUAGUACUUGUUGAGUUCCUAUGGUUGGUUGGCUGGUUGGUUUUUGCAUUUAUUUGCUUAUUGAGGCUUAAGAAGGAAUAGAAAAGUUAAUAGGAGCUAGAGGGAUGGUUCAGUGGGUAAAAUGCUAUGCAAACAUGGAGACUUGAGUUCAGUCCCCAUGCCC